rnacentral:rRNA from 1 species
UACGGAGGGUGCGAGCGUUAAUCGGAAUACUGGGCGUAAAGCGCACGCAGGCGGCUUGUUAAGCUAGAGGUGAAAGCCCCGCGCUCAACGUGGGAACUGCCUUUAGAACUGGCAGGCUAGAGUCUUGGAGAGGGGAGUGGAAUUCCAGGUUGUAGCGGUGAAAUGCGUAGAUAUCUGGAGGAACAUCAGUGGCGAAGGCGGCUCCCUGGCCAAAGACGGACGCUCAUGUGCGAAAGUGUGGGUAGCGAAACAGGUUAGAUACCCCCG